UUGGCUUGUUUACUUUAUUACUUGAACAUCUUUGAAGGAAUAAUCGAAUAAUUGUAUAGAACAGCCAAUUCUGAUUCAACUGACAAAAUUAUGAGUUACGUAAAGCCCUAUU